AAUAUCCCCCUUUGCCAUAUAAGGUAAUAUUACGUCAUCAUGGGAGGGAUAGCUCUUCACACCCACAGAUUCCCUCUACCCUCAAAAGGGAGGUGAUUGUACAAGGGUGAAUGUCAUUGGGGGUCAUUCUUAGAAGUCUACCUACCACACUCUCACAGAGGAAAUUCUGCCUGUGGAUGACAGCUUCAGCCCAUGCCUUUGAAGUUCCAUCCUGCUUGUGAGCUUCUCUUCCUGCCUGCCAGUGGAUGAGAACUUCCUCCUGUGCCCAUGAAUUUGAGCCUGCUCCUGAUCUCCCUUCCUGACGGCCUGUGCUAUGAAUUUCAGACUUGCUCAGCCAGCCCCCAGGGGGAAGACAGCUACCUGUGGACCAGGAAGUGGCUCUCACCAGACACCAAAUCUGCUUCCACCUUGAUCUUGGACUUCCCAGCCUCUAGAACUCAAAGCUGUUCAAUGCAGCCCUCUGCCAGCAGAUCUGUUACUAAAGGAAUUCAUGCAUCUUGCAUCUUGAAGAUGCAUUAUUAAUGCCUGGACAAAUCACAUCAGGUGAAACGCAGCAAGUCCCUGGCACUGAAAAAAAGGAACAAAGGCUGGUUCUACAAGAGAGCGAUGGAUGAGACAAAUUAUAACAGCUGGG
rnacentral:lncRNA from 1 species